rnacentral:misc_RNA from 1 species
GGAUCAGGAGAUGUGCAAGCCAGUAAACAUUUGCCAGCUGAAAGCUUGCUGUUCAAUCGUGAGAUGCAUCAGCAAGCAAAUAUAGGGAGUCAUUUGGAAAUCUCAUCUAAUACUGAAAGGGAUGUUUCAGGUCCCGCUAAAGAUAACUUGUUUGCUAUAAAUGGGGUGAAUGAGAGAUUUGAAGAGAGCAACAAUGAAAACCGUCAUAAUCCUCCUACAGUGGGAAAUGAUAUUGGUGGUUCUUUUAGUUCAGAAGGGGAAAGUCCUGGAAUAGAAGUAUUUCAAAUAAUCGGAGAAGCUAAACCAGGAUGUAAACUUUUGGGUUGUGGGUUUCCUGUACGUGGAACUUCUCUUUGCAUGUUCCAGUGGGUCCGUCAUUAUCCUGAUGGUACAAGGCAGUAUAUUGAGGGUGCCACAAAUCCUGAAUAUGUAGUUACUGCUGAUGAUAUUGAUAAGCUUAUAGCUGUCGAAUGCAUACCAAUGGAUGAUCAGGGACAUCAGGGGGAGCUUGUCAGGCUUUUUGCCAAUGAUCAAAACAAUAUAACAUGUGACCCAGACAUGCAGUCAGAGAUAGAUACCCAUAUUUCUGAAGGCCAGGCCACAUUUAAUGUUCUAAUGCUUGUCGACUCUUCUGAGAACUGGGAACCAGUGACUAUAUUUUUGCUGCGAUCAAGCUUCCAAGUAAAGGUUCAUAGAACACAAGCUGUUGUUAUAGUGGAAAAUUUUUCCAAAGAAUUGUCGAUCAAAAUUCCAAGUGGGCUAUCAACACAGUUUGUUAUCACAUGUUCUGAUGGGUCUUCACAUCCCUUCAGUACAAAUAACGAUAUAAGAAUGCGUGACUCUCUUGUGCUGACGAUGAGAAUUUUCCAGAGCAAGGCAUUGGAUGAGAAGAGAAAGGGAAAAAUAUAAAUAUAAACCUUUACUUUCGCUAUAGGUGCAUUAUUUAUGGCCAUUGACAUUCUCUUUAGUACGAACCAAUAAAAAAGUUAACAAUAAGCAGCAAGUUUUUGAGCAACUAGGAAGAAAGAUACUCUGUUUUUUUUUCCUUUCUAAAUUUUGUAGUUGUAAACUUGUAACUCUAUACGGUGCUUAUCUUUGCACAAUGUGUUGUAUCAUUGUAUUAUAUU